rnacentral:rRNA from 1 species
UACGUAGGGUGCGAGCGUUGUCCGGAAUUAUUGGGCGUAAAGAGCUCGUAGGCGGUUUGGUGAGUCGGGUGUGAAAUCUCCACGCUCAACGUGGAGGGGCCACCCGAUACUGCCAUGACUAGAGUCCGGUAGGGGAGUGUGGAAUUCCCGGUGUAGCGGUGAAAUGCGCAGAUAUCGGGAGGAACACCCGUGGCGAAGGCGGCUCUCUAGUACGGUACUGACGCUGAGACGCGAAAGCGUGGGGAGCGAACAGG